rnacentral:rRNA from 1 species
ACAGGCUUAACACAUGCAAGUCGAGGGGAAACGAUAGAGAAAGCUUGCUUUUUCUAGGCGUCGACCGGCGCACGGGUGAGUAACGCGUAUCCAACCUGCCCAUCACUUGGGGAUAACCUUGCGAAAGUAAGACUAAUACCCAAUGACGUCUCUAGAAGACAUCUGAAAGAGAUUAAAGAUUUAUCGGUGAUGGAUGGGGAUGCGUCUGAUUAGCUUGUUGGCGGGGUAACGGCCCACCAAGGCGACGAUCAGUAGGGGUUCUGAGAGGAAGGUCCCCCACAUUGGAACUGAGACACGGUCCAAACUCCUACGGGAGGCAGCAGUGAGGAAUAUUGGUCAAUGGGCGAGAGCCUGAACCAGCCAAGUAGCGUGCAGGAUGACGGCCCUAUGGGUUGUAAACUGCUUUUAUAAGGGAAUAAAGUGAGAGUCGUGACUCUUUUUGCAUGUACCUUAUGAAUAAGGACCGGCUAAUUCCGUGCCAGCAGCCGCGGUAAUACGGAAGGUCCGGGCGUUAUCCGGAUUUAUUGGGUUUAAAGGGAGCGUAGGCCGGAGAUUAAGCGUGUUGUGAAAUGUAGACGCUCAACGUCUGCACUGCAGCGCGAACUGGUUUCCUUGAGUACGCACAAAGUGGGCGGAAUUCGUGGUGUAGCGGUGAAAUGCUUAGAUAUCACGAAGAACUCCGAUUGCGAAGGCAGCUCACUGGAGCGCAACUGACGCUGAAGCUCGAAAGUGCGGGUAUCGAACAGGAUUAGAUACCCUGGUAGUCCGCACGGUAAACGAUGGAUGCCCGCUGUUGGUCUGAAUAGGUCAGCGGCCAAGCGAAAGCAUUAAGCAUCCCACCUGGGGAGUACGCCGGCAACGGUGAAACUCAAAGGAAUUGACGGGGGCCCGCACAAGCGGAGGAACAUGUGGUUUAAUUCGAAGCAACGCGAAGAACCUUACCAAGUCUUGACAUCCCCCUGACCGGUGAGUAACGUCACCUUUCCUUCGGGACAGGGGAGACAGGUGGUGCAUGGUUGUCGUCAGCUCGUGUCGUGAGAUGUUGGGUUAAAUCCCGCAACGAGCGCAACCCUUGUCUAUAGUUACUAACAGGUCAUGCUGAGGACUCUAUGGAGACUGCCAUCGUAAGAUGUGAGGAAGGUGGGGAUGACGUCAAAUCAGCACGGCCCUUACGUCCGGGGCCACACACGUGUUACAAUGGGGGGUACAGAGAGAUGGUGUUCUGCAAAGCGCAUCUAAUCCUUAAAGCCUGUCUCAGUUCGGACUGGGGUCUGCAACCCGACCCCACGAAGCUGGAUUCGCUAGUAAUCGCAACAUCAGCCAUGGCGCGGUGAAUGCGUUCCCGGGC